rnacentral:rRNA from 1 species
AUUGAACGCUGGCGGCAGGCCUAACACAUGCAAGUCGAGCGAGCGGCGGACGGGUGAGUAAUGUAUGGGGACUGCCCGAUAGAGGGGGAUAACUACUGGAAACGGGGGCUAAUACCGCAUACUGUAGCAUAGCCCAUAUGGGAUUGGUUAGUAGGUAAGGUAAUGGUUUACCUAGGCGACGAUCCCUAGCUGGUCGGAGAGGAUGAUCAGCCACACUGGGACUGAGCCACGGCCCAGACUCCUACGGAGGCAGCAGUGGGGAAUAUUGCACAAUGGGCGCAAGCCUGAUGCAGCCAUGCCGCGUGUAUGAAGAAGGCCCUAGGGUUGUAAAGUACUUUCAGUCGGGAGGCGUUACCGACAGAAGAAGCACCGGCUAACUCCGUGCCAGCAGCCGCGGUAAUAC